rnacentral:rRNA from 1 species
GAUGAACGCUGGCGGCGUGCCUAAUACAUGCAAGUCGAGCGAACGGACGAGAAGCUUGCUUCUCUGAUGUUAGCGGCGGACGGGUGAGUCACACGUGGAUAACCUACUUAUAAGACUGGGAUAAUUUCGGGAAACCGUAGCUUAUACCGGAUAAUAUCUUGAACCGCAUGGUUCAAAAGUGAAAGACGGUCUUGCUGUCACUAAUAGAGGCUUCCGCGCUGCUUUAGCUAGUUGGUAAGGUAACGGCUUACCAAGGCAACGAUGCGUAGCCGACCUGAGAGAGGGGUCGGCCGCCUGAGAGCUGAACCAGCGACAAGAGGCCUGAGAGACGCAGCAGUAGGGAAUGUUACGCAGUAGGCGAGAGCCUGGCAGAGCGGCGCCGCGUGUGAGGUAGAGGUCUUCGGUGCGUGAAGAUCUGUUAUUAGGGGAGAACAUAUGUGUAAGUAGAUGAGCACAUAUUGACGGUACCUGAUCAGGAAGCCACGGCUAACUACGUG